rnacentral:rRNA from 1 species
AUUGAACGCUGGCGGCAGGCUUAACACAUGCAAGUCGAGCGGGGUGAUGGUGCUUGCACUAUCACUUAGCGGCGGACGGGUGAGUAAUGCUUAGGAAUCUGCCUAUUAGUGGGGGACAACAUCUCGAAAGGGAUGCUAAUACCGCAUACGUCCUACGGGAGAAAGCAGGGGAUCACUUGUGACCUUGCGCUAAUAGAUGAGCCUAAGUCGGAUUAGCUAGUUGGUGGGGUAAAGGCCUACCAAGGCGACGAUCUGUAGCGGGUCUGAGAGGAUGAGCCGCACCACUGGGACUGAGAACCGGCCCAGACUCCUACGGGAGGCAGCAGUGGGGAAAUUUUGACAAUGGGGGGAACCCUGAUCCAGCCAUGCCGCGUGUGUGAAGAAGGCCUUAUGGUUGUAAAGCACUUUAAGCGAGGAGGAGGCUCUUUUGGUUAAUACCCAAGAUGAGUGGACGUUACUCGCAGAAUAAGCACCGGCUAACUCUGUGCCAGCCGCCGCAGUAA